rnacentral:lncRNA from 1 species
GAAAGAAAACCCACGGCCAAUUACCAACUCUUAUUAUUCCGCAAUGAAAGAUGAUACAAAUAUACCAAGUAAGCCAAGUUUAUAGGUCGCGAAAAACCCUAAUCCUAGAUAGUUUAGGAUGUUCUCCAAGUAAUUUAAAGCAGCCUAUGAAGUACUUAAUAAAUCCUAGACCCCAGUCCUUCAGCCCCUUGCUACGUGCAUCACAGGGGGUUGCCUGAUACAAUGUUGAGAAGAAGGGAUUAAAUAGGAAGAAAGAAAAUUGUUACAGUAGAAUUUAAAAGUUAGGUAUUACUGUUCAUUGUUCACAAAAUUAGUUACUAUUGUUCCAAGUUGUAGUUAUUCUGUUAGUUAGCUUAGUUGUCAACUGCAGCUAAUGAGGUGUAUAAAUAACUGAUGUAAGCUACUACUUGAUUCAUUCAUUCAUAAUACAAUCUAUGUCCUUCUCUCUCAUUCUUCUUUCUCUUUACUGAUUUUAUUGGAUAAUUGCCUGAAAUUGGUACCAUCUUCGUUGAGGAUUAUUCUCCUAGAUUGACACAUUUCGCCCAAAUUCCUUGUUCUUGCAUCAAUUUAUUUCAGAGCCAGUCAUUUCUCGGCUCAAUCAAUCAUGGUAGUUCAUGAUAAAAACUCAGACAAAUCGAAUGAGGAAGUCGAUGGUAAGCUUUCUCAGAUUCAAGAUCAGUUGCAGAAAUUAAUGGAGGGAGUGUCGAGCAUUUAUGAAAGAAAUGUUCAAGCUGAUAAAGAACUAUUGGGACUCAAGGAAACCCUGGGAUCGUUGAUGUCCAAGGAGAAAAAAAGGAGCAGGGAAGAGCUGAAUUUUCCACCAUCAGAAGUUGUCCAGUUGGGAUGCAAAAUAAUAAAGGUUACAAUAAGGAUUUCCAUGGAGCUAGAAAUUAUGGUAAUGGACAAUUUUUUACUCGAUUCUCCAAAUUGGAGUUCCUUCAUUUUUUUGGUUGUGAAUUACGCACUUGGUUAUACAAAGUUGAUAAAGUCUUUUCUAUGAAGAAAAUUUCGUUUGAAUAGAGGGUGAAGGUGGCUUCCAUCCAUUUGGAUGGUGAAGCUAUUGCAUGGCAUAGGUCGUAUAUGAACUCUAGAAAUACUACUUCUGAACUCUCAUGGAUUGAGUAUGUGUUAUCCCUAAAUGAGAGGUCUGGGGAUGGAUUUGAAGACCCAAUGGAGGCUUUGAAAAAUUUAAGGCAAACUGGCAGUGUUAGAGAAUAUCAUGCAGAAUUUGAUAGGUUAUUAAAAGCAGUUAAUCUAUCAAAUGAGAAUUCUAGAAGCUGUUAUUUAGGGAGGUUGAAGCCAGAGUUGAAUAAGGUAGUCAAGAUUCAAGAACCCAAGACCUUGUCCCAAGCUUACAAGAUUUCAAGGUUGCAGGAAAGGGUGUUUGAGGCUCAAGCUUAGACCUGGGGUUUUAAGCAGGCUCAAAAGGGGGUUAAUGCAAUCUUACCAGCUCCAAAUCAGUUUAGGCCAUCCAAUUACCAAAAAAUCUCUACAUAUCAUCCUAAUGUAGCUAAACCUAAAAAUUUUAGAAGGUUCACUACUACUGAAAUAGAUGCAAAAAGGUCUAAAGGUCUGUAUUUUUUUUGUGAUGAGAAAUAUGUUGGACAUAAUUAUAGGGCCAACAAACUAUUGUUUAUGGUAGAAUUGAUGGAUGAGAGUAUGUCUAAUGAAUGGGAAGGACCUGAAUUGAUAGAAGAAGUUUUCGACAUUCCCCAAGGUGAGGAGGAACUGAUGACCAUCUCAUUACAAACUUUUACUAUGGCUGUUGGAUAUCAGACAAUUAGGAUCACUAGUUAUCAUGAGAAAAGACCUUUACAAGUCCUAAUUGGCACUGGAAGUACCCAUAACUUCAUUGACCAAGGGGUGGCCAAAAAGUUGGGUUGCAAUACCAGUAUUAUAGUUGAACAAUCUGUUAGUGCGACUGCUGGAACACAAGUGCAAACUGUAUCUGUUUACAAGAAUUUGCAGUGGUUGUUACAAGGUACCACAUUCUUUUCUGAUUUUUUUUGUUACCCUUGGGUAAUAUGGAUAAUGUUCUGGGGGUGCAAUGGUUAAAUACACUUGGUAAAAUUCUGUUUGACUUUAAGAACAGGAUAAUAGAAUUUAUGUAUCAGGGGAACAGGUAUGUGUUGAGAGGUGCUACCAGUCAGCUUAAGUCCUCUAAGGCCAACUUUUUGAUCAAGAAGAUGUAAACUAAGGCUACCUGAUACAUAAUAGAGAUGGCUGAUACUACAAUAUCAGAGAUAUAUUGUCACAACAUACAAGCUACGCAAGGUACGAGCCUACAUCCUACAUUAUUUGCAUUGGUGAAAUAAUUUUCUAUUAUCUUUGAGCCACCUACUACAUUACCUCUACAUAUAGGAUCAUCUGAUCAUAAAAUACCACUUAUUGAGUCUGCAAAUUCAGUAAAUAAAAGACCCUAUAAAUACCCUGGUGUGAAGAAAGAUAUCAUAGAGAAACUGAUUCAUAAAAUAUUAGAUCAACGAAUGGGAAGGACCUAAAUUGAUAGAAGAAGGUUUAGACAUUCCUCAAGGUGAGGAGGAACUGAUGGCCAUCUCAUUACAAGCUUUCACUGAGGCUGUUGGAUAUCAUACAAUUAGGGUCACUAGUUAUCAUGACAAAAAAAUCUUCACAAGUCCUAAUUGACACUGAAAGUACCUAUAACUUCAUUGACCAAGGGGUAGCCAAUAAGUUGGGUUGUAAUGCCAGUACUAUAGUUGAACAAUCUGUUCGUGUGGCUAAUGGUAGACAAGUGCAAACUACAUCUGUUUGCAAGAAUUUACAACAUUCUCUUCUGAUUUUUUGUUGUUACCCUUGGGUAAUGUGGAUAUUGUUUUUAGGGUAAAAUGAUUAAAUACCCUUGGUAGGAUUCUAUUUGACUUUAAAAAUAGGAUAAUAAAAUUUAUAUAUCAAGGAAAGAGGUGUGUGUUGAGAGGUGCUACCAGUCAGCUUAAGUCCUCUAAGGUCAGCUCCUUGAUCAAGAAGAUAAAAUCUGAGGCCAACUGCUACAUGAUAGAGGUGGUUGAUACGACAAUAUCAGAGAUAUAUUGUCACAACACAUAAGCUACGAAAGGUACAGACCUACAUCCUGCAUUAUCUGCAUUAGUGCAAAAGUUUUCUAUCAUCUUUGAGACACCUACUAUAUUACCUCCACAUAGAGGAUCAUAUGAUCAUAAAAUACCACUUAUUGAGUCUACAAAUCUAGUAAAUAAAAGAUCCUACAGAUAUCCUGGUGUAAAGUAGAGAAACUGAUUCAGGAAAUAUUAGAUCAAUGCAUGGAAAGGACGUGAAUUGAUAGAAGAAGGUUUUGACAUUCCUCAAGGUGGGAAAAAACUGAUGACCAUCUCAUUACAAGCUUUCACUGGGGCUGUUGGAUAUCAGACAAUUAGGGUCACUGGUUAUUAUGAGAAAAGACCCUUACAUGUCCUAAUUGACACUGGAAGUAUCCAUAACUUCCCUGACCAAGGGGUGACCAAGAAGUUGGGUUGCAAUGCCAAUACUAUAGUUGAACAAUCUGCCAGUGUGGCUGAUGAAAGACAAGUGCAAACUACAUCUGUUUGUAAGAAUUUACAAUGGUUGUUACAAGGCACCAUAUUCUCUUCUGAUUUUUAUUGUUACCCUUGGGUAAUGUGGAUAUAGUUUUGGGGGUGCAACGGUUAAAUACCCUUGGAAGGAUUUUAUUUGACUUUAAAGACAAAAUAAUAGAAUUUAUGUAUCAGGGGAAUAGACAUGUAUUGAAAGGUACUACUAAUCAACUUAAGUCCUCUAAGGCCAGCUCCUUGAUCAAAAAGAUGGAAUAUGAGGCCAACUGCUAUAUGAUAGAGGUGGUUGAUACAACAAUAUUAGAGAUAUAUUGCAACCUACAAGCUACAAAAGGUACAGAGCUACAUCUUGCAUUAUCUGCAUUAGUGCAAUAGUUUUCUAUCAUCUUUGAGACACCUACUACAUUACCUCCACGUAAAGGAUCAUAUGAUCAUAAAAUACCACUUAUUAAGUCUGCAAAUCCAGUAAAUAAAAGAUCCUACAGAUAUCCUGGUAUGAGUAGAGAAACUGGUUCAGAAAAUGUUAGAUCAAUAAAUGAAAAGGACCUAAAUUGAUAGAAGAAGGUUUUGACAUUCCUCAAGGUGGGAAAGAACUGAUGACCAUCUCAUUACAAGCUUUCACUAGGCUGUUGGAUAUCAGACAAUUAGAUUUUUAUUGUUACCCUUGGGUAAUGUGGAUAUUGUUUUUGGGGUACAACGGUUAAAUACCCUUGGUAGGAUUUAUUUGACUUUAAAGACAAAACAAUAGAAUUUAUGUAUCAGGGGGAAAGGCAUAUAUUGAAAUGUGCUACUAAUCAACUUAAGUCCUCUAAGGCCAGCUCCUUGAUCAAGAAAAUAAAAUAUAAGGCCAACUGCUACAUGAUGGAUAUGGUUGAUACUGCAAUAUCAAAGAUAUAUUGUCACAACAUACAAGCUACGCAAAGUACAAACCUACAGCCGGCAUUAUCUAUAAUGGUGCAGUAGUUUUCUAUUAUCUUUGAGCCACCUACUACAUUACCUCUACAUAGAGGAUCAUUUGAUCAUAAAGUACCACCUAUUGAGUUUGUGAAUUCGGUAAAUAAAAGACCCUAUAAAUACCCUAGUAUGAAGAAAGAUAUAAUAGAGAAACUGAUUUAUAAAAUAUUAGAUCAAUGAAUAGGAAGGACCUAAAUUGAUAGAAGAAGGUUUAGACAUUCCUCAAGGUGAGGAGGAACUGGUGGCCAUCUCAUUACAAGCUUUCACUAGGGUUGUUGGAUAUCAGAUAAUUAGGGUCACUGGUUAUCAUGAGAAAAGACCCUUACAAGUCCUAAUUAACACUGGAAGUACCCAGAAAUUCAUUGACUAAGGAGUCUCCAAGAAGUUGGGUUAAAAUGCCAGUACUAUAGUUGAAUAAUCUGUUAGUGUGGCUGAUGGUAGACAAGUGCAAACUGGUUUUGUUUGCAAGAAUUUGCAAUGGUUGUUACGGGGCACCACAUUCUCUUCUGAUUUUUUGUUGUUACCCUUGGGUAAUGUGGAUACUGUUUUGGGUGUGCAAUGGUUAAAUACCCUUGGUAGGAUUCUGUUUGACUUUAAGAACAGGGUAAUAAAAUUUAUGUAUCAAGGAAAGAUGCAUGUGUUGAGAGGUGCUACCUUUCAACUUAAGUUCUCUAAGGCCAGUUCCUUGAUCAAGAAGAUGGAAUAUAAGGACAACUGCUACAUCAUAGAGGUGGUUGAUACUACAAUAGCAGAGAUAUAUUGUCACAAAUCUAUGCAAGGUACAGACCUACAUCUUGCAUUAUCUGCAUUGGUGCAGGAGUUUUCUAUUAUCUUUGAGCCACCUACUAUAUUAUUCCACAUAGAGGAUCAUUUGAUUAUAAAAUACCACUUAUUGAGUCUGCAAAUCUAGUAAAUAAAAGACCCUACAGAUACCCUGGUGUGAAAAAAGAUAUCAUAGAGAAAUUGGUUCAGGGAAUGUUAGAUCAAGGUGUAAUUCAACAUAGCUCUAGUCCUUAUGCUUCUCCUGUUGUGUUGGUGGUAAAAAAAAUAGUAGUUGGAGGUUAUGUGUUGACUACAGAGAGGUAAAUCAGCUGACUAUAAAAGAUAAAUUUCCCUUUCCCAUUAUUGAAGAUUUGUUAGAUGAAUUACAUAGAGCUUCUGUGUUGCUGGUAACCACUAACUAAGAAUGAUUGAGAGUGAUGCUCAUAAACAAUUUUCAAAACUCACGAAGGUCACUAUGAGUUCUUGGUUAUGCCUUUUGGCCUGACUAAUGCACUAUAUUUAUUUCAAAGCUUGAUGAAUUAUGUUUUCAAACCAUUACUAAGGAAAUCAUUGUUAGUCUUCUUUGAUGACAUUUUAAUCUUUAGUAAUUCUAUGUCUGCUCAUAUUGCUGAUGUUAAUGUGGUGUUUGAACUUAUGGUUAAGCAUCAGUUGUAUGCAAAAAUGGCUAAGUAUGCAUUUGGGGUGCCUAAAGCUAAGUAUUUAGGCCAUGUGAUUAGUGCAUAAGGUGUUGCUAUUGAUCCAAAAAAAAAUACUAGCAGUUCAACAGUGGCUACUUCCUAUCAAUCUUAAGUAGUUAAGAGGAUUUCUUGGUCUGUCUAGUUACUACAUAAGGUUCAUAAAGGGGUUUGGUGUUAUUUGCAGGCCCUUACAUGAUCUACUCAAGAAAGAGGGGUUCUUGUAGAAUGAAAUUUCUACUAAAGCUUUUGAAGAACUCAAAUAGGCACUGAUUUCUACUCUUGUUUUGGCUAUGCCUAAUUAUAAUCAUACCUUUGCGGUAGAGACAGAUACUAGUGGCAAGGGUAUAGCGGUUGUAUUGAUGCAAUAAGGGCAUUCACUUGCUUAUAUUAGCAAGCCCUUUGUACCCAAACAUCAAGCUGUAAGCGUUUAUGAUAGAGAGUUGUUAGCACUGCUCUUUGUUGUUUCACGAUGGUCUCAUCACUUAUUGGGAAGGCAUUUCAUCGUUUAAAUUGAUCAAAAAGCUCUCAAGUAUCUAUUAAAUCAACACAUUCAUACUGAUUUUUAGGUGUACUGUAUCUCCAAGCUUAUGGCAUUUGAUUUCGCCAUUGAAUACAAGAAAGGGGUGGAAAACAAAGUUGUUGAUGCCUUGUCCAGGAAUCCUAGUGCUGAGUUUCUAGCCAUUUCUAUCUUAGGUCCUCAUGGUUCCCUUUUGGAUCAAAUUAAUAUCUCUUGGACUAUUGAUCAACACCUGGAAGCUAUUAUUGGUAAGGUGCAGACAUCACCUUACAAAUCUUUUACUUGGUUUCAUAACCAGUUGAGAUGAAGGAUAGGUUGAUAGUUGGUAAUAAUGCUCAGCUUAAAAGGUCCAUCAUUGCUCUUAGGCAUGAAUCUACCCAAGGAGCCAAUGCCACUAUUAAAAUACUGCAAUCACUAUUUUAUUAGAAAUCACUGAUGCAAGACACUAGAGAUUUUACUAACAAAUGUGAUAUUUGUCAAAGGCAUAAGUAUGAUGUUACUCAUAGUCCAAGUCUUUUACAACCUUUGCUAGUACCUGAUGGUGUUUGGACAGACAUUUGUUUGGAUUUCAUUGAAGGUUUGCCUAAGUCCAAUGGUAAAGAAGUUAUACUGGUGGUAGUGGAUAGAUUGAGGAACUAUGGGAAUUUCUUGGCUUUGUCUCGCCCUUAUACAACCCAAUCAGUGGCUCAAUAUUUCCUUGACAAUAUCUUUAAGUUGCAUGGCAUGCCUAACACAUUACCUAGUGAUAGAGAUUCCAUCUUCCUUAGUAAUUUCUGGCAAGAAUUGUUUUAUUUGCAAGGUGUUCAGCUUUAGAGAACUACUGCAUACCAUCCACAAACUGAUGGACAAAUAGAAGUGUUGAAUAAAACAUUGGAAACUUACUUGAGGUGUUUUUGCUCUGACAAGCCUAAGGAAUGGUGCUCUUAUUUACCCUUGGUUGAAUGGUGGUACAAUACCACCUAUAUAUCAUACUACUAUCAAGUGUACCUCUUAUGAGGUUUUGUGUGGAAAAAACUGACUAUUCAUCUUCCCUAUUUAGCUGGUUAGGUUGCUACUGAAAUGGUUGACCGAUCUUUGGUUGCUAGAGAAUCCACUAUUCAGUUGUUAAAAUUUCAUAUUGGUAGAGCUCAACAGAGAAUGAGAGAUACUGCUAACAAGCACAGGUCUGACAAGUCAUUUAUGGUAGGAGAUUGGGUCUAUUGAAGCUUCAACCUUACAGGCAAACUUCUGUUGUUGUAGGAUCAUUUCCUAAACUGGCAGCCAAAUACUAUGGACCUUAUCUUGUUGAUGCUAUGAUUGGUGCAGUGGCUUAUAGGUUGUUACUUCAAGCAGAUGUCCUUACCCAUCCUGUUUUUCAUGUUUCCUAAUUGAAAAGGUGUUUAGAGGUUCCUCUAGUAUCACUCAUCCUCCUGUUAUUCAGCUGUCAAGUCCCUAUUGUCCUAGCCCUGAGGCUAUUAUUGAUAGAAGACUUGUGAAGACAGGCAAUAAAGUUGUGGAACAAGUUUUGGUUACAUGGUCUGACCUUGAUAAGACUCAAGCUACUUGGGAAUUUGAGUCUGAGUUGCAACAUAGAUUCUCUACAUUCCAUUUUUUGAGGACAAGGAGGUAUUGAUACAAUGUUGAGAAGAAGGGAUUAAAUAGGAAAGAAGAAAAUUGUUACAACAGAAUUUAAAAAUUAAGUGUUACUGUUCAUUGUUCAUAAAAUUAGUUACUAUUGUUCCAAGUUGUAGUUAGAUAGUUAUUCUAUUAGUUGGUUAGCUUAGCUCUAAAUUGCAGCUAAUGAGGUGUAUAAAUAACUGAUGUAAGCUACUACUUGAUUCAUUCAUUCAUAAUACAAUUUCUGUUCUUCUCUCCCAUGCUUCUUUAUCUUUACCGAUUUUCUCGGAUAAUUCCCUGACAUUGGUACCAUCUUAUUGGAGGAUUAUUCUCCUAGAUUAACACAUUUCACCCAAGUUGCUUGUUCUUGCAUCAUUACCGCCCCCUAAAAACCCCACAGUCAUGCCCACAAACAUAACAUGGAUAAAUGAACAUGGACCCAACAAUCUCCCCCUCCAUCUAAGGGUCAAAAUGGGCCUUCAAAUAGAGGAACUGUGGACAUGUUUCAGACCAAAUUUCUACAAAACUCAGGCUUAUCUGCGAUAACCAGCUUUUUUAAGAAAAAUCUCUUUCUUUUUUAUUCAUGCGGUGUUAAAGUAAUUGAUCAAUCACUUAUUUUGUUGUUUCAACAGGAUUUAGAAAGUGGACCAAUUACUGAUGAUGCAACACUUGAGCCUCUGGAUGACGAAACUUGUAGUGAGAUGCAACUUCUACAAAGGAAUAACAUUAAUCGUAUUGUUCAAGAGAAGAACUGGGAUGAACUUAAUGACUUCGGAGGAGCCACUGGAUUUGCUGAAGCAUUGGACAGUCACCUGGAAAAUGGAAUUGUUGGUGACACUGAAGAUAUUUGUAUACGUAAUGCAACAAUCAAGUUUCCUCAAACUUGCGUACAAGUUGUAGUCAUGUUCUUCUAUGUCCUUUUUGAAGCACUCAAAGGCUGGACAAUUUCCUUGCUUGCGGUGGCUAUAAUACUUUCUCUUGCCUUUGAAAUUGACGAAGAAGGGAUACAAAAGUGUUGGCUUGACAAUUUGAUACUGCUUAUGUCCGUACUUGGACUUAUUAUGUUUAAGUUGGUGGGGAUAUAUUGGGAGGACAAAAAAUUGAUGAAAAAGAUGAAGGACCAGAAAAGGAAGAUGCAGAGGCAGAGAGCGGCAGAGGAGGUCCGUGUUAUUACAGGAGGAAUUGAGGGUCUGGUUCCAUACUCUGAUCUUGUUUAUGGUGAUAUUAUUUUUUUAAGAAGGGGAGACUUAGUCCCUGCAAAUGGGAUAUUUGUUUCUAAUUGUGGGGAAGCUUUAGAGGUACGAGAUGAUGAUGAUGAUGUGGAGUUGUGUAUCAAUGAUCAGAACCCUUUCUUAUUACUUGGUUCCGAAGUGAUUAAGGGUGAUGCUAAGAUGAUAGUGACAUCAUCGUUUGUUGGCAAUGAGGCAGAUCAAUGGACUGAAAGAAUGAGACGAGCAAUUACCAAAAGUACUUCACAUAAAGGUUUCAAUCUCGAUGCUUGUUUUGAGAAGUUGCACACUAAGAUUCAUGUUUUCGGGAUUGCCAUCAGCAUUCUAACCUUUGUGGUUAUGUUCGUGCGCUUUAAAUUCCAUCAAAAAGAUGAGCACGAAUAUAGACUAGAAAUCAAGGAAGAACCAGCAAAAUUCAGUCAGAUAGUAAAUUCCAUCAGAAAAUUUGCCAGAGAUGCCAAACUGACAACCUUGCUUUGUGUUUCAUUGGUUGGGAUAAGGGAAGGAUUAUCUCUUGUUGUUUCCGGUGCAAUUUUCUAUUGGAAACGAAAGAUAGUAGUAUCUUACCAUGACUACUCCAAAAUUGAUACAUCAUUGCUUCUAAAGGUAGAAUCAUCGGUUACUAUUGUUUGUUCGAUGAAGAAUGGUUGGUUAAUUGAACAGAAUCAUCAGGAAGUUAUCAGAGAUAUUGCAGUUAAAACACUCACAGAAUUAGGUAAUGUGAAGACAAUAUUCAUCUCCGAAGAUGAUGUUGAUGAACUUAAAAACAUCGUCUCUGAAGUUGGAUUCAACUCGGAUGAUGAUACUCUGGUGGUUAACGGUGAGGACUUUUAUCAAUUGAGUGAUGCUGACAAGAUGGAGAAAAUAGAUAAAACAAUCUGUAUAAUGGGCAAUUGCUCCGUUCGUCACAAGCUGCUUCUUGUAAAAUACUUGAAGCUAAAAGGCAAAGUGGUUCUAAUGCUUGGAGAACGCACAUCUGAUGGUUUGGUAAUCCAAAAGGCGGACCUUGGCAUGUACAUCAAUACAUGGAGUUUCGAUUACCUAAUAGGUAUGUUGAAACUUGGAAGAUUUAUUUGUGAAAGUAUGAGGAAAUUUAUCCAAAUAGAGCUCAUUCUGACUCUAGCUAGUUGGUUAAUAAACUUGAUAACAGUCAUGAUAAUGGGAAAUGCUCCAUUAACAACUCUUAAGUUGAUUUGGCUCAGUUUUCUUGUUACAUUUCCUGGAGGCCUAGCAUUGUUCUCAGGGCAACGGGAGGAUGCACGUUUGUCUGUCGACAAACAUACACUAAUAAUGAAGGCUAUUUGGAGGAACAUUAUAGUUCAACUUACUUAUCAGAUUGUGAUUUUUGUGGUCCUUCAAUGCAAAGGCAAAGCCAAUAAUAUCCAUAGUGAAUUCAUAAUUUUCAAUGGAUUUGCUCUAUGCCAGUUUUUCAGCAUAUUAUGUGCUAGAGAGCCAGAAAAGAAGAACAUUUUCAAUGGUUGUAGAUGUAAUUAUUGGUUUUGGGCAGCAUGUGGAAUUUUUCUCAUUUUGCAUGUUGGAAUUGUUGAGGGAGCAACUCUAGUAAUCAGUGACAAUAUGCAAGUAGAGUGGACGUUAUGGGCAGUAUGCUUUACAAUUGGUGUUGCUACAUGCUUUUUUGAUUGGGCAGGAAAGUGUACAUUACAAUACAUUGCACCUAUUGCACAAUAUUUUGCUUUUGCUUCUAUGUGUACUCUUCAACCACUUGUGAGUGAGUAAUUAUAUGUUUUGUAUUAUAGAUUCAUGUAAAUAUAGAUGAGAUUGAAGGGUUCAAGAACAAUUAACGACCCUAUAUGUAAGUAUUUUAACUAAUUGCUCAUUAAUUAUAUGUUCCCCCAUCCUCCCACUUUUUUUAAAUUUUUUUCAAAUUUGCAAUUUUAGGAUUAAAAUGGAGAGUGUUUAUCACCCUAGUAAUCCCUCUACUUGCAUGUCUUACUAUUUUAUCACCCUAACUAAUUGCUCAUUAAUUAUAUGUUCCCCCAUCCUCCCACUUUUUUUUUUUAAUUUUUUUCAAAUUUAUAAUUUUAGGAUUAAAAUGGAGUGUGUUUAUUACCCUAGCAAUCCUUCUACUUACUUGUCUUACUAUUUUUAAAAUUGACUUUAAAGAAUGUCAUUUUUUAUAUUUAGUAUUGCUAUCUCAAUUUAUGUGAUGGUGUUGAAUUGAGUAUGAAAUUAAAAAUGAAAGAAAGAUUUUAAAGGUUAUGAUCUGAAACAAGUUAUAAAGACACUAGUGGCUGUAAAAGGUUUUAUUAACGUUAAAUGGAUACUAUAGAUUAAAUCUAUAUACAUAUAAAAGCAAAACUAAAACAAGACAAGAAGUCAUGUGGCAGCACAAUAGAAAGACAUGUGGAAGUUUUUAGGACAAGGUUAUAAACAUUGUAAUAAAAAUUAUGAAUUAAAAUAUAAGAUAUUAUUAUUUAGGUUAAUAUUUUAUUUUUAUUUUUUGAAAGGGAUAAGCUUAUGUUUCUAAUUUCAAACUAAUGAUAAUUAAAAAAUCUCUCUCUAUAUAUAUAUAUAAGUAAAACUAAAAGCACUAAAAGAAGCCACGUGCCAGCAUAAUAAAAAGUCAUGUGGCAGUUUUUAGGACAAGGAUAUAAAAAUUGUAAUAAAAAUUUUGAAUUAAAAAAUUAGAUAUAUUUAAAUUUUGAAACUAUUAGAUUUUGUAAUUAAAAUAUUAUCAUUAACUUGAUUUCAGGAAUGCUAUAUUGAAGAGUUGUAAAUGAACUCUAACUACUCAUAACUUAUUCCUUUCAAUAUUAUAAAAUAUAUUUUAAUAUUAAAUAAAAUAAUAAUAAUAAUAAUAAUAAUAAUAAUAAUAAUAAUAAUAAUAAUAAUAAUAAUAAUAAUAAUAAUAAUAAUAAUAAUAAUAAUAAUAAUAAUAUCUCUCUUGUAGUAGGAUCGUAGGUAUGUAGUAGUACUAUACAUUAGUAGCAGGAGGAGGGGUAAUAUAAAUAUAAUAAUAAUAUUAAUAAUUAUUAUUAUUUUAUUAAUUUUAAUACUUAUUUUAAUUCAAAUAUAUUAUUUAUUUGAUAAAUAUACAUUAUAUUUGAAAAAAAUAAAGAUAAGAAUGAAUAACAAACUAAUCUUCUUUUAACAAAUUAAUAUGUUAUUUGAAUUUCAAUUUAAAUUUUAAUGAUAUUUAAAUUUAAAUUUAAAUUUUAAUGAUAUUUGAAUUGAAAUGGAGUUCUAACUUCUUAACCUUUUUUAUAUAUAAUCCUAAAUAAAUUUUAAAAUAAUAAUAAUAAUAAUAUUUUAAUAAAUAAUAAUAGUAGUAACAAUAGUAGUACAUGAUGUUAAUAGUAAUAAUAGUAAAUAAUAAUAAUUAGUUGCAAUGUAUAAAUUGUAAUAAAAAGUUUUAAUAAGUUAUAAAGUUUUAAUUUAUAAUUUUUUUAAAAAAACUCAGUGUACUAUCACCUCACUUCUUUAUGUCAAAUCAUGUAAACGUAAUAAAUUAUUACGUUUUACAAAAAAAUUGCAAACGUAAUAAACUAUUACUACAUUUUACUAAAACUUUUUAAUAUACACACCCGCUAUCAAACCAUUAAAAAAGAGUAUAAAACGUAAUAAAUCAUUAUGUUUAGCUUGUUUUGGUAACUUAUUAAAUAUGUGAUCUAUUUUUGUCACUUUAUUCAUAUUUUGAUUUAUUUUGGUUCCAAGUUUCCAUAAGUCACAUCUCAAUAUUUUCUAGAAAAUGACUUCCCUUAACCCACGAGGGAAGUCAUUUCCUUUUAAAUGGAGGAAAAUGAGUUCCUUUGGAAAAUAUUUUUCCAAAGUUAUAUUACAACCAAACAAGAAAAAAUAGGAAAAUGUUUUCCAAAAAAUAUCUUCCAUCAUACCAAACACACCCUAAGUGAUUUAUCUUAUUUAUGCAAAAUUAAGUGAUGUACUUAAAAGAACAUGAUAAAUUCAUGUAGACUAAAUAAAUUCUUUUAAUAAUUUUUAAAAAUAAAAUAGAGACUAAUUAACCCUCCAAAAACAAUUAAAAUUUAUGUAAUUUUUACGAAAUUAAUCUCAAUAUUACUAAUAGGCAAAAUAUGAAUUGAACUGUCUUACAACGUGGACAGCUCGCCUACCGCAUGAAAGGUCAACAUAACAAACUACAGCGAGACCAGGACCAUGCCAUGAAAGAUCAAAAUGCCCAGUUAAUUAUUCAUUUCGUUUUUAAAAGAACGACAUAUUUUGACUUGAUUUAAAAUUAAAAAGAUAAUUAAUCUUAUGAUAUUGAAUUAAAGAUAUAUUAUAUAUAUUAAAAUGUUAUUUAAUUUUGCAGCCUUAAACAUAUUAUGUGUAAAUUUGAAUAAAAGAGUUGCCGAAAAGAAAAAUUAAAGGAUCAUUUUCUAAAAAUGGAUUAAAUAGGAAAGCAUAUCAAACAAAUUAAAACGGAAAGAAUAUUUCUUUUUUAAGCCAUAGGUCGAAAAGAUAAAUUUAAGAUUUAAAAUUUAUAAGCUCGAAAAUUUAUUAUGUAUAGUGAAUUUCUCAAUAAAUAUAUAGCGUUAAAGAUAAUUAUUGAAUUAUGUGAAAAAUGUACCUUGCAUGCUAGCUCCAUCCCAGCUAAUAAGUAUGGACUUGCUAUCCCAAUUUACGCGAUGACACUUUUUUCCAUCUGUAGUUUUUUAGAUUUGAAAUAUAUCUAAUUUAAUAUUUUCAUUUUACCCCCACAUGAAUGUGAGUUGCAUGCAUAAAACCACAACUAUAGCCACAAAAUUAUACAGCAUAUUUAACAUCAAAAAUUGAUAAAAUCUUAUAACUACACCAAUAAUGUAUAUAUAAUGAAAAAUUUCAAACUUCACAACGAAUGUUAAAUAAAUUGAAAACAGUGAAAAUAUCUUUUAGUCCCAGGCUUCUUCGUCCCCCAAUCGAACUCCUUUAUCCAAUUGGUCACCACGUAUAAAGUUCAUGUAAAUUCAAUAAAUUUUUACUAUAAUUCUUUAUAUGUUAGAAGAACUAUUAAAUACCUAUAAGAAAUUUAGUUGUUCACUCAGUUAUUAUUGUAAAUUAACCUAAUAUCAUUAUAAGAACUUAUAAAAUUAAAAUCCAUAAUUGGCCUCUGUUACUAGACUACAUGUCCAACCGGAGUUCGAGAAAGUACCCUGGAACAAUCUCAGUUGGUUAUGGUUUAUAGAAAACUACACCACCAAUAAUAACAUAUUCAGAAUAAUUUUAUUAAAUAAGGUUUAGAAAAGAUAAAAUAUACAUAUAUUUUAUCCCUUCCUCAUAGGUAGAAAUGUUACGUUGUUUCCAAUAGACUCUCGAUUUUAGAAAAAAUAAUUCAAAGCAGUUAAAAAAAGAAAGCAACUGAACCAUGUAUAGAGGGGCUAAUUAAGCUACGAGCACAUAAACAUAUAUCAAAGUGUUCAAAAUCAAGUAAAAUAAAUACAUAAGAAAUGCAGAACUAAAAGUGAUAUCAUAACAUAGAGGAGAUGAGAUGAGAAAUAUAUAACAAAAACAUACCUAGUAUAAACUCAAAAAUAGAAUACGAGAAGAAUAGAGUCGGAUACAUAAAUCACACCACUAUUAUAAAAAUAGAAAAAUUAUUUUUAAUAAAUGCUAAUGUUAGAAAUGAGAAAUAUGUAGCUUAC